AAGGAGCCCAUGACGGGCCACCGGACGAGGGGUGCCGUACCCGGCGAGCGACAAGACGGCCCACA
rnacentral:ncRNA from 1 species